rnacentral:RNase_P_RNA from 1 species
CUGGAUAAUUGCUGGCAUUUGCUAGAGGAAAGUCCAUGCUCGCACCAUCUGUGAUGAUGGUAGUGAUUGCGCUAGCGGAAGAAAUAACGCUAGGUAUGCAGGAGUGCAUAACGGCGGAACUAUUCUAAAACUUCGGUCAUGAAAAUGUUCCUUAAGGUGCCACAGAGACGAGUUCAACGGAAACGCUGAAGUGAAACGUUUGGUAAACCCCACAAGCGAGAAACCCAAAUUUUGGUAGGGGAGGUUAUCGAGGCGAAUCGAAGCCAAGAUAGCACGCAUUGCGUAGAUAAAUUAUUAUCCUAGACAAAACAUGGCUUAUAG